GCGCAGCAGGCGCGAAUACUUUACAAUGUGCGAAAGCACGAUAAGGGAACUCUGAGUGCCUCCUAAGGAGGCUGUUCAGGUGUCUAAAAGCACCUGAAGGAAGGGCUGGGUAAGACCGGUGCCAGCCGCCGCGGUAACACCGGCAGCCCAAGUGGUAGCCACGUUUAUUGGGUCUAAAGCGUCCGUAGCCGGCUGGGUAAGUUCCUUGGGAAAUUUGGCUGCUUAACAGUCAAGCUUUCAGGGAAUACUGCCCGGCUUGGGGACCGGGAGAGGUCAGAGGUACUCCAGGGGUAGGGGUGAAAUCCAUUAAUCCUUGGGGGACCACCGGUAGCGAAGGCGUCUGACCAGACCGGGUCCGACGGUGAGGGACGAAGGCUAGGGGCGCGAACC
rnacentral:rRNA from 1 species